rnacentral:sRNA from 1 species
AUUGCUAUUUAGGAUCCAUCACCACGUGCACCAAUCAAUGAUCGUGGAGCUGGCAACUCUGAGGAACUAGAGCCUACUUUUGACCAGUCACCAAGAAUACUAAACAAUAAAGAGAAAGACGAGUAUAGGCGUCUGUGGGAACAGCAGCAUCCAGAGGUGGUUAAAAAACCCAGCCCUCCUAAAAUGUACAACCGGACAAAAGCACUGGACACUGCCCAGAUCAUCAGGGAAGUAGAGAGAGAAAAAAGAGAAGAGGAAGAGUUGAUGAAAAUGAAGAGCCCACUUCUGGGAGGCGGUGGUAAACAAGACUAUAGACAAGGAAACAGAGGAUUAACCAAUGGGCAGACGGCAGGAGUAAACAGAGAUGAGUACAGAAAGUUGUGGGAGGAGCAACAUGCAAAGAGAGACGCGGUUGGGGU